GGCAGGAAUAUUGAGCAUUGCUCACUCAUUCUUUCCUGUGUAGAAACUAAGAGCUGUCCGGAAGGAACCAAACCAAAACUUCACUUACUUACACUUUAGGCUCUCCCAGGAAUGCAUUCUUAAACCAGUCAAUCAGGAAUUACCUGAUCAGCACGGGGAAAGCGAUCCUGCCAGAGCCAAAGCCUUUCUGCUUGGUAUAAAUUCCUGGUUCCUGUGCCCUCCACGUAUAAAAAUCUUUCAGUUUGUGCAGCUCCUUGGAGCUCCCUUCUAUCGGCUAGAUUGGAAGCUGUCUGAUUUGAAUCCAUUUUUGCUCAAAUAAACUAUUAAAAUUUGUAACGCGCCUCAGUUUAUCUUUUACCAGCUCCAGAUCAGAAGAGGGACCUGAAGGACACUCCCAACAGCCCCAGGAGCCCCAGGACACAGGUACCUGUUGAGCUCCUUGAAGGCGCAGCGUUCUUGCUGUCUCUGGAGGACACGGUUCUGGUGACCAGGACAUCCCACUCCCUCCAAAGCCUGCAGCCAGGAUCCUUGGAAAACUGGCAGAAGCCAGCAGAAGUGUCUGUUCUAGAUGGUGUUUCUUCAAGAGCAGACCACAAUCCAACAAACCAGGGAAGAAAGAUUAUAGAUGGGAAAAAGUCAAGUUGAGGAAGGAAGGGAAAAUGGAGAACAUCUAGAACAUCUUACAGCCACUCUAAGGGGAAAAUUGGACUUUCUUCUGUGUCACUCCUCCUCUCUACCCCAUUAUCUUUCCAAUAGGGGCUAUUCACCCCCACCUUAAAAAAAAGAAAGAGAAAACAGAGAAAGAAGGAAAAGGAGUAUUUUCUCAAUACAAAACCCAUAAGUAUUUGCUGCAUCUUCCUCGAUGCAGGCUCCAUGCUUGGAUUGACAACAAAAAUUGAUAGGACUUACCACUUCAAAUUUAUUAACUAUCAGAGGAAGUAAUCAAGAGGACAUGACCACCAGUUGACCUGGGAGCUGGACCCAGGAAAUCUCAGCCUCUUUACCCCCUCCCAUCUUUGGAAUGUAAGUUUUGCCCACUGUUCCCAUAGUGGGAGCCACUUCAAGGAUAUGGCCUUGAGAGAGCAAUGUGUUGAGCCUAUCUCGGUGGUAUAUAUGACUGAAUCCAGUGAAGGCCUCUAUAUACACUCAAGAUUCUGGUAGGCGGGUGUGAAGGUUUACUUGUCAUGCUGUCACCCAAGACAAGCCUCAUGUAUAAGUUCCCUUGCUUAUUAAAACUGUCACCUACCAAUCUGGAGUAGUCUGCUACUCUCCUCAGUCUCUCCUUGCCCUCUGUACAUGAGGAUCAGUUUCCAGUUUCACCUGGGGAACUCCAGAGGUUGUGGACCACUACCAACCAAUGCCUGGUGACUCUCCUUAGGGUCACUGAAUAACAACAUAGUCACUUACCACUACUUGUACUAAGAUGAGGCACAGGAAGGCAAGAAGAGAACACAAAAAUGCCUUACAGAGUUUUGCAUCUGGAUCCUAUGAGGCGUCCCUUAGUAUUCUCUACCAUACCAAAGCUACCCAGCCCACCCCCCAGCCUCUGAUUCCAUAGAGCCAACAGUUCUCAAAAUUUAGUGUGCAUCACAAUAACAAAGGGACAUAACUUAAAAUUCAGAAUCCUGGAACUCAACCGAAAGGUUGAUUCACUAGGUCUGGACGGGGUGUACACUGUUAACGAGAUCCUCAGUGUUUCACAUGCCCACUGAUAUUUAAGAACCACUGCCCUAGAGUGACAGAUUCCAGACCAGCAGGGGAACCAUACAUUUUCUGACUUUUUAAAAAGGCAACUAGUGAUCACAGACAUUGAGAAGGUUUGCUUAUAUAUCAAGGCCAGGACACAUUUUAAAUAAAAAUUGUAAGAUUAUAUAAUAAAGACUGAAUGGUAGUAGUAAUAAGAAAUCAUAUCCAUAUGGAUUCAAAUGUUUUUUAAGCUAUUCUAAAAUUGUUUUCUGCUCUACAUGAUGAAGAGAUAUUUCUAACAUUGAAAAAAGUAGAACAUUUAUGACUAAAUCUAGUAGAUAGAACAGAAGGCCUAAACAGAAAUAACAAACUCACCAUGGUUAGCAACAAGUCAUUAGAAUGAUGUGUUGAUCUUGAUAAACCUACAGAAGCUACAGUCCCACUCAGACCUACUGAAUCAAAAUCUUUGGGGAUAAACCCAACCCAAGAAAGAUUUUGAUUUGCAGUGAGAGCUGAGAACCACUGCUUUAAACCAGGACCCCAGAUAGACUACUGCCACCUGAUGGGAAUGUACCUAAAUUCUAAGGACAGCUUUUUGAAUGGUGGUUUCCUUUGCAAGGUGAAUCUACCAAACUAAACUAUUGAACUGGCAAUCACAGUCACAAGCAUAAAAAAAUGGUAUACAGAAAAUAUAAAAGUUCUUAUCUGCAAACUUGUUAACCUUUAUUCAAAAUACUUAGGAGCCAAAAAAAUGCUUUGAAGCCUUAAAUAUAAUGAAUUGGGUAUAUAUAGUGUUUUAUCAUUAAUAAGAUAUAUUCACAUGCAUUAAUUAGAUUAAUUCCUAAUAACAUUUUAGAAUGAGAGUUAUUGUCUAUAGAGGCUUAGAGAGGGUAACUGAUUAGUCUAGUGGUUCCCAAACUUGUGUGCAUGUUGGGAAAUAAAUACUAAUUUACUAGUAUAUAUGAGUCAGAAAAUACUAAUGCCUGUGUCACAGCCUGAGAGAAUGAGAUUUAAUUUGUCUUGGGUAUGACCCAGAUUUUGGCAUUUUUAAAAGAGCCCCUGUGAAUCUAAUUUGCAGACGAAUUUGGGAAAACACUGUACUAGCCCCAAACCACUCAGAUGGUAAUUAACAAGAUAGGAGUUUAGGCAUUUUAAUGUCAAGUUAAUGCUCAUGGAAUUGUAUUUGGCAUAAAGAUCAAAGACAAUAAAGACAUAAAGAUCAAAGAUCAAAGACCUCAGCUAAGACUUAACCUCAACUAAGACUAUUGAAUUUCUCAAUAAGGCAGUUUCCAAAUUUCUCUGGCCAUAAGAGUCACUAAGUUGAGUUUAAACAUCAAAAUUCUUAGGACCUUCCACAGAAUUUUCUGAUGCCAUAGAUUUGGAAAGGUCCUGGAGAAUAUGCACAUUUCCCAAGUUUGUCUUAGUCUGUUUGGGCUGCUACAACAGAAUACCAUAGACUGGGAGGCUUAUAAACAACAGAAAUCUA